rnacentral:ncRNA from 2 species
CAUUUCUUUCGGGGCAGGGUGAAAUUCCCGACCGACGGUAAAUAGAGCGAUCUAUAAGUCCGUGACCCAAUUUAUUUAAAUUGGUUGAUCUAGUGUGAGUCUAGAACCGACAGUUAAAGUCUGGAUGGGAGAAAGAGUAG